rnacentral:misc_RNA from 1 species
AACGCACCUUGCGCCCUUUGGUAUUCCGAAGGGCAUGCCUGUUUGAGUGUCAUGAAAACCUCAAUCCCUCUGGUUUUUACGAACCGGUUGGACUUGGAUCUGGGCUCUGCCGCGACCCUAUGGGACGUCGGCUCGCCUUAAAGACGUUAGUGAGAAGGGUGGCUCCCGUCAGCCUGGCGUAAUAAGUUUCGCUGGGCCCCUGGGGAUGCCUUCCGGCUCGCUCACAACGACCAACUUUCUUAUGACUCUGACCUCAAAUCAGGUAGGACUACCCGCUGAACUUAA